UAGGGAAUCUUCGGCAAUGGGGGGAACCCUGACCGAGCAACGCCGCGUGAGUGAAGAAGGUUUUCGGAUCGUAAAGCUCUGUUGUUAAGGAAGAACGAGUGUGAGAAUGGAAAGUUCAUGCUGUGACGGUACUUAACCAGAAAGGGACGGCUAACUACGUGCCAGCAGCCGCGGUAAUACGUAGGUCCCGAGCGUUGUCCGGAUUUAUUGGGCGUAAAGCGAGCGCAGGCGGUUAGAAAAGUCUGAAGUGAAAGGCAGUGGCUCAACCAUUGUAGGCUUUGGAAACUGUUUAACUUGAGUGCAGAAGGGGAGAGGGGAAUUCCAUGUGUAGCGGUGAAAUGCGUAGAGAUAUGGAGGAACACCGGUGGCGAGAGCGGCUCUCUGGUCUGUAACUGACGCGGAGGAACGAAAGCGUGGGGAGCGAACAGG
rnacentral:rRNA from 1 species